rnacentral:rRNA from 1 species
GACGAACGCUGGCGGCGUGCUUAACACAUGCAAGUCGAGCGGUAAGGCCCUUUCGGGGGUACACGAGCGGCGAACGGGUGAGUAGCACGUGGGUGACCUGCCCUCAGCUCUGGGAUAAGCCUGGGAAACCGGGUCUAAUACCGGAUAUGACUCCAUGACGCAUGUUGUGGGGUGGAAAGCCUUGUGCGGCUGAGGAUGGGCCCGCGGCCUAUCAGCUUGUUGGUGGGGGAUGGCCUACCAAGGCGACGACGGGUAGCCGGCCUGAGAGGGCGACCGGCCACACUGGGACUGAGACACGGCCCAGACCCCUACGGGAGGCAGCAGUGGGGAAUCUUGCGCAAUGGGCGAAAGCCUGACGCAGCGACGCCGCGUGAGGGAUGACGGCCUCGG